rnacentral:rRNA from 1 species
GCCUGAUCCAGCCAUACCGCGUGGGUGAAGAAGGCCUUCGGGUUGUAAAGCCCUUUUGUUGGGAAAGAAAUCCAGCCGGUUAAUACCUGGUUGGGAUGACGGUACCCAAAGAAUAAGCACCGGCUAACUUCGUGCCAGCAGCCGCGGUAAUACGAAGGGUGCAAGCGUUACUCGGAAUUACUGGGCGUAAAGCGUGCGUAGGUGGUCGUUUAAGUCCGUUGUGAAAGCCCUGGGCUCAACCUGGGAACUGCAGUGGAUACUGGGCGACUAGAAUGUGGUAGAGGGUAGCGGAAUUCCUGGUGUAGCAGUGAAAUGCGUAUAGAUCAGGAGGAACAUCCAUGGCGAAGGCAGCUACCUGGACCAACACUGACACUGAGGCACGAAAGCGUGGGGAGCAAACAGGAUUAGAUACCCUGGUAGUC